GACAUGUUUUGAGCACGUCCACAGCCAGACGCCAACAAACGUGCUGUAUACGUUUUGAUUUGUUUGAUCCUCAUGACAAACCUAUGAGCUAGGACCAUUACUAUCCCUCUUUUACAGAAGAGAGAAAUUUGGACACAAGGAUACAGACACAGAGGGAGGACGGCCAUGCGAAGACAGAGGCAGAGAUUGAAAUUAUGCUUCCGCAAGCCAAGGAACACCACGGACUCUGGGAACCACCAGAAGAAGCUGGAAGGGACAAGGAAGGAUUCUUCCCUAGAGCCUUCGGAGACAGCAUGGGCGUGCUGACACCCUGGUUUCAGAUUUCUAGCCUCCAGGACUGUGAGAGAAUAA
rnacentral:lncRNA from 1 species